rnacentral:rRNA from 1 species
GUCUACGGCCAUACCACCCUGAACACACCCGAUCUCGUCUGAUCUCGGAAGCUAAACAGGGUUGGGCCUGGUUAGUACUUGGAUGGGAGAGGACUCUGACCUCAGUCU